CCUACGGUGGGCAGCAGUGGGGAAUAUUGGACAAUGGGGGCAACCCUGAUCCAGCCAUGCCGCGUGUGUGAAGAAGGCCCUCGGGUUGUAAAGCACUUUCAGUGAGGAAGAACGCCUGGUGGUUAAUACCCAUCAGGAAAGACAUCACUCACAGAAGAAGCACCGGCUAACUCCGUGCCAGCAGCCGCGGUAAUACGGAGGGUGCGAGCGUUAAUCGGAAUUACUGGGCGUAAAGCGCGCGUAGGUGGCUUGAUAAGCCGGUUGUGAAAGCCCCGGGCUCAACCUGGGAACGGCAUCCGGAACUGUCAAGCUAGAGUGCAGGAGAGGAAGGUAGAAUUCCCGGUGUAGCGGUGAAAUGCGUAGAGAUCGGGAGGAAUACCAGUGGCGAAGGCGGCCUUCUGGACUGACACUGACACUGAGGUGCGAAAGCGUGGGUAGCAAACAGGAUUAGAUACCCUUGUAGUC
rnacentral:rRNA from 1 species